rnacentral:rRNA from 1 species
UGAUCCUGCCGGACCUGACUGCUAUCGGAUUGAUGCUAAGCCAUGCGAGUCAUUGUAGUAAUACAAGGCAGACGGCUCAGUAACGCGUAGUCAACCUACCCUAUGGACGGGGAUAACUUCGGGAAACUGAGAAUAAUACCCGAUAGAACAUUAUGCCUGGAAUGGUUUAUGUUUCAAAUAAUUUAUUGCCGUAGGAUGGGACUGCGGCCUAUCAGUUUGUUGGUGAGGUAAUGGCCCACCAAGACUAUUACAGGUACGGGCUCUGAGAGGAGUAGCCCGGAGAUGGGUACUGAGACACGGACCCAGGCCCUAUGGGGCGCAGCAGGCGAGAAAACUUUGCAAUGUGCGAAAGCACGACAAGGUUAAUCCGAGUGGUUUCUGCUAAAGGAACCUUUUGUCAGUCCUAGAAACACUGAUGAAUAAGGGGUGGGCAAGUUCUGGUGUCAGCCGCCGCGGUAAAACCAGCACCUCAAGUGGUCAGGACGAUUAUUGGGCCUAAAGCAUCCGUAGCCUGCUUUGUAAGUUUUCGGUUAAAUCCAUACGCUCAACGUAUGGGCUGCCGGGAAUACUGCAAAGCUAGGGAGUGGGAGAGGUAGACGGUACUCGGUAGGAAGGGGUAAAAUCCUUUGAUCUAUUGAUGACCACCUGUGGCGAAGGCGGUCUACCAGAACACGUCCGACGGUGAGGGAUGAAAGCUGGGGGAGCAAACCGGAUUAGAUACCCGGGUAGUCCCAGCUGUAAACUAUGCAAACUCAGUGAUGCAUUGGCUUGAUGCCAAUGCAGUGCUGCAGGGAAGCCGUUAAGUUUGCCGCCUGGGAAGUACGUACGCAAGUAUGAAACUUAAAGGAAUUGGCGG